CCUUCUCCAACUUUUUCUGAAGGGAAUGCAGAGUAGACAGAAAUACUUAACUUACCACAUACUUAUGGCUGCAUUAACUGUCAUUAGCAGACACUGGAAAUACGCUACUCUGCCCACAAUAACAGAAUGUAUACAAACGAUAGAAACAGCUAAGCUCUAUGAGCUAGCAACCAGACGCUUAAGUCAAUCCAAAAAAGUUUGGUCACAAGCCUGGGAAAACUGGCAGUCAUACAUGGGGCAUGACAUCAGGCCAUCCAAAUGAGAUGCUGUGGCAAGGACCGACAGCUGUGCCCUUCCGAUAAUAAAAACUGUAAA